AUGCAGCAGAUGAACAUGGGGGAGUCCAAGUAUGAUCAAGUUUUAGGAGUAGCUAAUGGAGAUUUAGUCACUCAGACAGAGGAUGAAGUGAUCCUGUCUGAAAGAGCUUCCCUGACUAUGAAUUGUUCCUAUAAAACCACAGGUUACCCAGUCCUGUUCUGGUACAUCCAGUAUCCUGGAGAAGGUCCAAAGAUUCUCUUUCGAGUCUCAAAGGCCAACAAGAAAGGAAGCAACAGGGGCUAUGAAGGCACAGGUGAUAAAGAUGCCACCUCCUUCCACGUGCACAAAGCCUUAGUCCAGGAGUCAGACUCCGCUGUGUACUGCUGUGCUCUGGAUGGUACAGUGGCAGGAACUGCAGGGGCGGCAGAGCACAAAUUCUGA